UACGAGGAUGAAAAACAUACACAGACCUGUACGCAAUCGUCCUAGACGUUGUCGACAACCGUAAUUGCCUUUUUUAUCUGACA
rnacentral:snoRNA from 1 species